rnacentral:rRNA from 1 species
GACAGAGGUGCCGAGCGUUAGGCGGAAUCACUGGGCUUAAAGCGUGUGUAGGCGGCGGCGUAAGUACCUUGUGAAAUCCCACGGCUCAACCGUGGAACUGCUCGGUAUACUGCGUCGCCUGAGCCAGCUAGGGGCGACCGGAACAAACGGUGGAGCGGUGAAAUGCGUAGAUAUCGUUUGGAACGCCGAUGGUGAAAACAGGUCGCUGGGGCUGUGCUGACGCUGAGACACGAAAGCCAGGGGAGCGAACGGG